UGCAUUUCAUUUCUCUUAAAUUAUCUUUCAAAAAAGGCCGAGUUCAUUUCAUCAUAGACUAUUUAUUAAACAUUUGUCAAAAACUCUGUAAAUAAGAAGGCAUAUCUUCAUCCUGAAAAUUUCAUCGAAUGCAUAAGCAGAAGACUAAUACAGAUUGCAACUUGCAUUAAGAGCGGUGAAGGUAUGAAUUGUUUCAUGCUGGACUUGAAAAACUGCUAUAGAUUAAUUUAUAUCCG
rnacentral:lncRNA from 1 species